CGCCGAUGACAGAUUCAACCCCCACCGCUUUACUCGAGUACUGUCUGACAGUGCCCGCCUCCAACAUCCAUCGAAACCAACCAGCGAGAGAGAGAACCACGCAAAAUCCGCACGCAGCAUUCCAACCCACUUUCGAUCUUGCGCCCGCCUCACCAGCCGUUUUGCACUCCCUCGCUUCUUCCACUCCACCUUGACUAGCACAUUUUUCUCUUUCGAGUGAAGUGUGGAUCUGUCGGUGGAGGGAGGAAGGCGAAGCUUGGAGUGCAAAGGGCGGAGAGGUAGCCUUGUAAAAGAGGCUUUGAAGCGGUACAGGACGAUCCUAACCCUAAGUUCAUCCCUUGCAGAGAGAGCUGCAUCGUUUCUGACUGGCUCGUUGUGGUAGGAUCUUGUUUGGCAAGUCGUAUCUGGCGAUCCCUCAUUCCCGCAAACGGCGGUCCAUACAGGACCCAGAGCGCUCUGCGGCUGUCUUUAAGGGUACGGGAUUGCUCGGCGCGGCUCGCCAUACGACAAGGAUUCUCCACGAUGGCUAGGGAGGAGCGGUGCAGUGAAGCUCCAAGGCGUCGUAAGAGUCCUACUUUUCAGGAGAGGUCUAUCCUAUUUAAUAUGGGAUCCAACCCUCGUUUGUCCUUGACAGCCUCUUACAUCUUACACGCUCUCUGCCAACGUCGAACCUUCACUGGCUGGACCACCUCUGCUCUGUCAAGAGCGAGGCAGGUUUGCACCAGAUCGACGCACCCACCCACACACGGGGUUGCUAUGUGGUAAUAGCAUCCCACCACGGUUUCAUUUGUUCGGUCCUUCUUGUCGCCGUCAAGCACAACGAAGGACGGAUGCCCGAGCGGUUUUUUGGUGGCUCUCUUGCUGGUCUCUGGCCCUUGGAUCUGGAAGGCAGGCAGGUGGGGACUUUUUCUCGAGGCGAUCGACUCUCCACUCGCAGUCUCAAUCCGACCCUUUUAGCGGGGUGAAUGGACACCAAACACAGCUCUACGGAGGGAAAAGGUCGGACCCACCCGCAAGCUCGUCCGCUUUCGACUCUCGGUGUUACGACCGGACCCGACGCGCGUGGACGCGGUGCAGCUUUCCGUCCCCGACGGGGAUGCGUGGAGGCCGUGCUGCUGCGUUGCAUCGGUACGAGGUCGAAAAACCACCAGAGAGGAAAAAGCGGAUGAGGUGGCCGGGAAGGAGAGCCGACCGAGUGUUGCUAGAGCUUCAUGCUCGACGUGCGCGUUUGCACUGCCGAAGGUCCGGAUUGAGGAUGGGGGAAAAGGAGGGGAGUGAUGGAAUUUUUCUACCCUUUGACGGG
rnacentral:telomerase_RNA from 1 species